rnacentral:rRNA from 1 species
UCGGGAAUUUUGCGCAAUGGACGAAAGUCUGACGCAGCAACGCCGCGUGAGGGAUGACGGCCUUCGGGUUGUAAACCUCUUUUGUCAGGGAAGAUGAUGACGGUACCUGACGAAUAAGUCACGGCUAACUACGUGCCAGCAGCCGCGGUAAUACGUAGGUGACGAGCGUUGUCCGGAUUUACUGGGCGUAAAGAGCUCGUAGGCGGUUUGUCGCGUCUGCUGUGAAAACUGGAGGCUCAACCUCCAGCCUGCAGUGGGUACGGGCAAACUAGAGUGCGGUAGGGGAGAUUGGAAUUCCUGGUGUAGCGGUGGAAUGCGCAGAUAUCAGGAGGAACACCGAUGGCGAAGGUAGAUCUCUGGGCCGUAACUGACGCUGAGGAGCGAAAGCAUGGGGAGCGAACAGGAUUAGAUACCCCUGUAGUCCCUGAGCGGGCUGGCAAGGCGCAU